UUUAAGACCGUGAAGAGGAAUAGUAUAUUGGAAUGAAUAUCGCAGAGAGAGAAAGGGUUGGUGUGACUUUCUUAUAUUCUAUCAAUAGAACCUACCUUGGAGUUCCAUAUGAAAGUAUGGCGUAUUCGCUGCGUUAAAGAGUGUAAAAGAGAACAACAAUGGUAAUAGAUAAUUACCAGCGUGGUUGUUAAUUAGGGUGGUACCGCCGAAGUCUUUCGGUCCCUUGU
rnacentral:ncRNA from 1 species